CUCCAGACUCCUACGGGAGGCAGCAGUGGGGAAUAUUGCACAAUGGGGGAAACCCUGAUGCAGCGACGCCGCGUGAGUGAAGAAGUAUUUCGGUAUGUAAAGCUCUAUCAGCAGGGAAGAAAAUGACGGUACCUGAUUAAGAAGCCCCGGCUAACUACGUGCCAGCAGCCGCGGUAAUACGUAGGGGGCAAGCGUUAUCCGGAUUUACUGGGUGUAAAGGGAGCGUAGACGGCAAUGCAAGCCAGAUGUGAAAGCCCGGGGCUCAACCCCGGGACUGCAUUUGGAACUGUGUAGCUGGAGUGUCGGAGAGGCAGGCGGAAUUCCUAGUGUAGCGGUGAAAUGCGUAGAUAUUAGGAGGAACACCAGUGGCGAAGGCGGCCUGCUGGACGAUGACUGACGUUGAGGCUCGAAAGCGUGGGGAGCAAACAGGAUUAGAUACCCGUGUA
rnacentral:rRNA from 1 species